rnacentral:rRNA from 1 species
AUUGAACGCUGGCGGCAUGCUUUACACAUGCCAGUCGAACGGCAGCGCGGGCUUCGGCCUGGCGGCGAGUGGCGAACGGGUGAGUAAUACAUCGGAACGUGCCCAGUAGUGGGGGAUAGCUCGGCGAAAGCCGGAUUAAUACCGCAUACGACCUGAGGGUGAAAGCGGGGGAUCUUCGGACCUCGCGCUAUUGGAGCGGCCGAUGGCAGAUUAGCUAGUUGGUGGGGUAAAGGCCUACCAAGGCGACGAUCUGUAGCUGGUCUGAGAGGACGACCAGCCACACUGGGACUGAGGCACGGCCCAGACUCCUACGGGAGGCAGCAGUGGGGAAUUUUGGACAAUGGGCGAAAGCCUGAUCCAGCAAUGCCGCGUGUGUGAUGAAGGCCUUCGGGUUGUAAAGCACUUUUGGCGGGAACGAAAAGGACUGUGCCAAUACCACGGUUCGAUGACGGUACCCGCAGAAUAAGCACCGGCUAACUACGUG